rnacentral:rRNA from 1 species
CCACCUUCGGGUGGUGGACAGUGGCAGACGGGUGAGUAACGCGUGGGAACGUGCCUUUCGGUUCGGGAUAACCCAGGGAAACUUGGGCUAAUACCGGAUACGCCCUUUGGGGGAAAGAUUCAUUGCCGAAAGAUCGGCCCGCGUCGGAUUAGCUAGUUGGUGGGGUAAUGGCCUACCAAGGCGACGAUCCGUAGCUGGUCUGAGAGGAUGACCAGCCACACUGGGACUGAGACACGGCCCAG